ACUUAAGCAUAUCAAUAAGCGGAGGAAAAGAAACUAACAAGGAUUCCCCUAGUAACUGCGAGUGAAGCGGGAAAAGCUCAAAUUUAAAAUCUGGCGGUCUUUGGCCGUCCGAGUUGUAGUCUGGAGAAGUGCUUUCCGCGCUGGACCGUGUAUAAGUCUCCUGGAACGGAGCGUCAUAGAGGGUGAGAAUCCCGUCUUUGACACGGACUACCAGUGCUCUGUGAUGCGCUCUCAAAGAGUCGAGUUGUUUGGGAAUGCAGCUCAAAAUGGGUGGUGAAUUCCAUCUAAAGCUAAAUAUUGGCGAGAGACCGAUAGCGAACAAGUACCGUGAGGGAAAGAUGAAAAGCACUUUGGAAAGAGAGUUAAACAGUACGUGAAAUUGCUGAAAGGGAAACGCUUGAAGUCAGUCGCGUCAGCCGGAAAUCAGCCUUGCUUCCGCUUGGUGUACUUUCUGGUUGACGGGCCAGCAUCGAUUUUGACCGUUGGAAAAAGGCAGAGGGAAUGUGGCACCUUCGGGUGUGUUAUAGCCCUCUGUUGCAUACAACGGUUGGGAUCGAGGAACUCAGCACGCCUUCAUGGUCGGGGUUCGCCCACGUUCGUGCUUAGGAUGCUGGCGUAAUGGCUUUAAACGACCCGUCUUGAAACACGGACCAAGGAGUCUAACAUGCCUGCGAGUGUUUGGGUGGAAAACCCGAGCGCGUAAUGAAAGUGAAAGUCGGGACCUCUGUCAUGGAGGGCACCGACGCCCGGACCUGAAGUUCUCUGACGGAUCCGCGGUGGAGCAUGUAUGUUGGGACCCGAAAGAUGGUGAACUAUGCCUGAAUAGGGUGAAGCCAGAGGAAACUCUGGUGGAGGCUCGUAGCGAUUCUGACGUGCAAAUCGAUCGUCAAAUUUGGGUAUAGGGGCGAAAGACUAAUCGAACCAUCUAGUAGCUGGUUCCUGCCGAAGUUUCCCUCAGGA
rnacentral:rRNA from 2 species